UCAAAGCAGCCUCAACCUCUUGGGCUCAAGUGAUCUUCCCACCUCAGCCUCCCAAAUAGCUGGGACCACAGGCAUGUGCCACCACACCUGGCUCAUCUGUUUAUGUCUUUAGGAACAUCAGUAUUCAUCUGAGGAGUCAGUGCCUCUCGGAAAGCUGCCAAAAUAACUUGUAGGGUCACUUAAACACUAAUUAAAGAAAUCUUCACCCAGGAACAUUAAGGGAGUUAAGAUAAAAUGUUCCCGAUGCUGUCAGAAUUCACAAAAACCGGAAUUGACUGGAAAUCAUAAAUGAUUCUCAAAGCAGGAAAAAACAAAAAAGAAAUAUCAUCUAAAAAUUUGUUAGUAGAGAGAUUUGGUCUGGUGCUGACAGAACUACACGAUUUUACUGGCGAGUCACUCGAGCGUUGUGGAGAUGCCGUUUCUGAGGUAAACAAAAUUUUAGAAUUUAGAAAAUAAAGUUGUUACCAUUCACAAAUUUUGUUUAAGUGAGAGAUUCUAACUUUUCCCCUUCGUUCUACCAGAGAGAAAAAAGCAUUUAGACUCGCUACAGUCGUGGCAUCAGAAAAAGGCGCUAAAAAGAGACAAUGUAACGGCCCAGGGUGCUCCGAACUUCAGUGGGGAGACAACCGGA